rnacentral:rRNA from 1 species
CAGCCGUAAACUAUGCGCGUUAGGUGUACUGGUGACCACGAGUCACCGGGGUGCCGAAGGGAAACCGUGAAACGUGCCGCCUGGGAAGUACGGUCGCAAGGCUGAAACUUAAAGGAAUUGGCGGGGGAGCGCCACAACGGGUGGAGCCUGCGGUUUAAUUGGACUCAACGCCGGAAAUCUCACCGGAUAGGACAGACAUAUGAUAGUCGGGCUGAAGACUCUACUUGAUGAUCUGAGAGGAGGUGCAUGGCGUAGACGUCU